UACGGAGGAUCCGAGCGUUAUCCGGAUUUAUUGGGUUUAAAGGGAGCGUAGGCGGACGCUUAAGUCAGUUGUGAAAGUUUGCGGCUCAACCGUAAAAUUGCAGUUGAUACUGGCGACCUUGAGUGCAACAGAGGUAGGCGGAAUUCGUGGUGUAGCGGUGGAAUGCGUAGAUAUCGGGAGGAACACCAGUGGCGAAGGCGGCCUACUGGGCACCAACUGACGCUGAGGCUCGAAAGUGUGGGUAGCAAACAGG
rnacentral:rRNA from 1 species